GUAGAGCAGAGGGGUAGGGGAGUGGGGUGUGUUGAGAUGGGCUUGGGUGAGCCAUAGCAUUUGGAUCAGGACCGGCAUGGUGCUUCUGGCACAAAAUUGGGCAGGUCAUAGGCCUGUGGUGCUCAGAAGUGGUGGGAUCCAAAAUGAUGUAUUGUAUAAGGACCAUGUUUGUUUUAUCAUUAACUGCAUGAAGGCAUCAACAAAUUGCACAGUUGGAAUGAUGUGAGAGGAUCUGGCAGCACUGAGAGAAGAAAUAGAGGGGAUGCAACCUCAUGACAGCUGGUGAUUAAGUCAAUUAUGGUUCCUGUCACUCUCUCUGGAUCAUAUUGUGUUGGAUGUCAAUCACGCACGCUUGGCAAAGGAUGACAAUGUCAUAUCAUUGUUGUAUCACCCACACAUUACACAAACAGAUCCGUGUUUACACACACAGAACUGCUGUUCCAGAGUUUACAGCUCAGUUUACAGUCUUGCUGUUGAACAGAACUCUGUUAAUAUCCUACGGCUGGAAUUUGUGUGUCCCUCCGGAGCAGUUUUGGAGAGCACAGCGGCAGCACAGUGCUGAAAACCGACCAUGUGUAGUAAUUCCAGCUAAAGUCUGUCUGCCUUGAAUUAGUAGCCCUAGUCUGUAGUCUGUAGUGUGUAGUCUGUAGUGUGUAGUCUGUAGUCUGUAGUGUGUAAUCUGUAGUGUGUAGUCUGUAGUCUGUAGUGUGUAGUCUGUAGUCUGUAGUGUGUGUGACAGUGGAAGCAUACAAAUUGAUGAAUACCCUCACCCUGACAGCUCAUCCUCAUCUUCCUCUUCUCCUUCCUCUUCUUCCUCCUCUUCUCCCUCCUCGUCCGUCCCUCUUCCUCUUUUUCCUCAUCGUCAUCCUCCUCCUCCUCUCCCAGGGAACCCACCCGUCCAUAGCCUCGUCAUCCGUGUUCAGCCCCUUCCCUUCCCUCAGCGUGGAGAGCCAAGGCUCGGCCACCCCCCUCAUCAUGUGUCGCAGUCCCACAGAUGUGAAGAGCAAGAUGUCUCCCAGGUCAAACUUGAAGUUCCGCUUUGACAAGAUGAGCCACUCCACAACAGUAAGUGAUGUCUCACUGUACUAUACUGUACUCUACUGUAAUAUACUAUACUGUACUGUACUCUACUGUAAUAUACUAUACUGUACUGUACUCUACUGUAAUAUACUAUACUGUACUGUACUCUACUGUAAUAUACUAUACUGUACUGUAUUAUACUAUACUGCACUGUACUAUACUUAAGCAAUAAGGCACAGGGGGUGUGGUAUAUGGUCAAUAUACCACAGCUAACGGGCAUUCUUAUGCACAACGCCACGCUGAGUGACUGGAUACAGCCCUUAGCCGUGGUAUAUAUACCACCAACCUCCGAGGUGCCUUAUUGCUUUUAGAAACUGUUUACCAACGUAAUCAGAGCACUAUAAAUAAAUGUUUUGUCAUAUCUGUGGUGUACAGUCUGAUAUACGACGGCUGUCAGCCAAUCAGCAUUCAGGGCUCCAACCACCCAGUUUAAAAUAUACUAUAUACUUUACUAUACACUGUACUGUACUGUACUCUACUCUACCGUGCCGUAUGUGUGACAAACACACUGCUCAGUUAAUGGAGCCUUGAAGUGAGACACUGUCUGCUCUGAGCUAGGUUCUGUAUCACAGUCCCUUCACUACACUGUCUGCUCUGUGCUAGGUUCUGUAUCAGAGCCCCUUCACUACACUGUCUGCUCUGAGCUAGGUUCUGUAUCAGAGCCCCUUCACUACACCUCAUCUCUUAUCUUCAGUACACUAUCUAGCUAGAGAUCCUGCAUUAACCUGUCAGCUUGAUCUCUCAUUCGAAUAGUGAUGAUGAUGAUGAUGAUGUUGUUGUAAUGGGACAUUUCUGUUAUUUUCUAUUGCAGUCCGAGUAGAAAUCUGGAUAUUCCAAAAAAGGGACAACACUGGCUGUUGGAGCAAAAAACAGCCACAACAUCACCCACGCAUCACAAUGGAAUCCCAAAAUGUACUUAACUUCAUGACUUAAGGGAAUUAAGUGGACUAGCUAGUGCGUAAGAGCACACACACACGCAGACAGAUACUGAGCUGGAAAGGAGGAAGAAUCCUGUGAGUCUGAACUAAGAAGUGGUGAAAGAAAGGUUCCUCUCAGUAUCUCUCUCUCGACAUGUCUGGUACAGAAAUAGCUCACAGUGAGAGGUGCCCACGUGUCGCUGACAUCACACCACAUGUUUAUUGGCCUCUGGUCUGAUUAAAAUACUCAUCUGUAACAUUAACCUGAUACAACUAGACAAGGCAAGGUUUAAAGGUCCAAUGCAGGCAUGUUUAUCUCAAUAUCCAAUCAUUUCUGGGUAACAACUAAGUACCUUACUGUGAUUGUUUUCAAUUCAAAUUGUCAAAAAGAAACAGAAAUAGCUUCUUAGCAAAGGGCAAUUUCUCAAGCAAGAAUCUUGCUAGGCCUGUGGGGAGGGAAAACUGAAAAGGAGCUGUUAUUGGCAGAGAGGUUUGGAACUCUCUUUCUUAUUGGUCUAUUAACCAAUUUACCGCAUGGUGAUGUCACCGUGGAAGGCCAAACCUCUAUCCCAGCAGAACAGGCUGAAAUUUCAGGAGCUCUUUUCAAACAGCUCCUACAAUAAAAGGGCAUUAUCAUCAUCAUAUUUCACAGUAUUAUUCCAACCUCAUAGUGUGGAAAUAUAUAUAAAACACAGGACAAUCUCGUUUUUGACUGCACUGGGCCUUUAACCUCACAACAUUCGUCUGUCAUUGAUUUAUGACACUGUGGUGAUAGGUCACUUUUCCGCUGUACUCAUCUCUCAUAUUACAGUGAUUGUUUAUUGUUGUCCUCUUCUGUUAUGAUCUCCAUAUCUGGGUCCAGGUUGGUGUAAGUUGUUGUACUAUCCUUCAGAAAGGGAUGUUGUUGUUAACCUGGGGGACUGUCUCUCUUGCCUUUGCCCCAGUAUGUCUGUUUGGGGACAGUUCCUCCAUUGCCUAACAAGGAGUUCCUGCUGCGGUAGUUUAGCUGCUUUUUAAGUCACCUGUUGUAAUGCUAGUCGUCUAAACCCCUUGGCCUCACAUACAGUAUGUAUCUGCUGCACAGUCAAGGCAGGUCAAUAGAAUGGAUCAAUCCACAAUAGAGAUAGAUGCAGUAUUUAUGUACUGUAUAUAUACUAGGGUUGCUAGGGUUGGGGUCAAUUCCAUUUCCGUUCCUUUUUUUUUUAUCUCGUAGGAAUAUAUUGAGGACAAUUGGAAUUUAACUUUACUUCCUGAAUUGACAUGGAAUUGAUAGAUACAGUGUUUAUCUCUAUGGCUCAAUCCUCAUCGAACAGUUUUGAAGUAUUCAAGUUUGUCUUAAGCUGCAGAAGGAAGGGACUUUACCCUCAUAAACCAAGUGCUCUAUUAGUGGAGAUUUGCUCACAUGAAAAUAAAAAUGCCAUUGCGCUCUGUCACAAGCUUAAUAUAGCCAAAGUCGCGCCUUACAAUCUAUCUGAAACCCUUACACCUUCCGGGUGCUUCUCACUGUGUGAGAGGUUGAGCAGAGAGUUUGGAUAAGUUUAUUUGGUUUGCGUUUAGCUGUGGGUGUCUGGUGAAUCCAAAACCUGCGUUCAAAUACUAUUUGAAAUCUUUCAAACACUUUGAGUGUGCGCUCCAGCCUGCCUUGGUUUGCAGUUUUGGGACAGGCAAGUUAAUCAAGCACAGAUCCUGGAUUUGAAAUGGUUUAAUAUAGUAUUUGAGCCCAGGUCUGCUUUUCACGUGCCCUUAUACAAACAUCCAGUUGUAUUUCACCCAAGUUCAUCAAUGUUCGUUGAAAACAUGGCUGCUUAUGAAGGAGGCUUAGCUGAGAAACACACGGACUGCUCCAUGGAAAUCAUGUUUAGCCGUUCAAGUCAUUUCGCAAUGUUUUUUUUUUUCUCUCACUAACAUUUCUCCAAAAAUAAAUAAUUGUCCAGAGAAUAUUUUAAAGAGAUCUUACGUAUUUUGGAAGUGUGAUUGAACGCUUUGUGAUUUUGAUGGUUCAUUUUUCAGUCUUAAGUGAAAGCAAACAGA
rnacentral:lncRNA from 13 species